CCGAACUAAACGUAAAAUAAAGAAAGGGAAAUGGGAAAGAAAACGACGAUUGACGACACAGAACAAAGCAGGAGUAACUUAGCUGAUCUCCGUCUCCCUACCUCAAGAGAAAAAGGGAGUAUCUGAGAGAGGGAGAUACAUCGCCAUGAUUCUCGCGGUGUUAUUCGCCAACUCUAAAGGCAACAUCUUAGUUGAACGGUCUGUUUACAUUGUUUACAUGGUGCUUGGAGAUGUCAGCGUCUAUGUUGUUGUGCAAAGAUGAGUAUGAUGAACUUGCAUUGGCAGAGCUGAUCUUUGUUAACCUCAGCUGUAAAGGAUGUACGUGGGAAGCUACCAACAUAGCGCCUUUUUCUGGAUAAAUACGGAAGGAUAUUCUUGACUUUGGAUGAAAUCAUUUGGAAGCGAUAUCUGGAGAACACGAAUAAAAUCAGGAGAUUAGUACGUUUAAAACCUCCAGCCGAGUUUUAGGCUGAGAACACCCUACUGUCACAGCCCAUUUGGAUGCAGUAGACUCUGGGUCCCGUACUCUACUGAAAGACAUGGUAUAUCCUCUGCUGUAGUAUGUAUUUACUAUGUGCGUAUUGUGUAAUAUCAUGCUCCCUAUUCUGCAUUACAGAUAUUUUUCAGUUCUGAGUUGGAGCUUAUGGAACUGUUAGAUGGACAUUGUGACAUCCUCGCAUUGAUAGCAUAUCAGUUUGAAGACAUAAAUGUACUUUAUUGUUAUUUUCAUGGCCUUACUAACUUGAGAUUAUAUAUAACGCAAAUAAUUUGGUAUUGUGUUUUCCCUGUAACACAUAUGUACAUAACUUGUUAUGUUGUCUCAACUGGAAUUAUUGGCAUCAUGCGGCUUCUGCAUCUUCAUGAACUGCUUAUGAAAUUAUACCAAUUGAGAUUUUGAACUUCUCUCUA